ACAGCAGCCGCCGCGGUAAUACGAAGGGGGCUAGCGUUGUUCGGAUUUACUGGGCGUAAAGCGCACGUAGGCGGACUUUUAAGUCAGGGGUGAAAUCCCGGGGCUCAACCCCGGAACUGCCUUUGAUACUGGAAGUCUUGAGUAUGGUAGAGGUGAGUGGAAUUCCGAGUGUAGAGGUGAAAUUCGUAGAUAUUCGGAGGAACACCAGUGGCGAAGGCGGCUCACUGGACCAUUACUGACGCUGAGGUGCGAAAGCGUGGGGAGCAAACAGGAUUAGAUACCCCGGUAGUCCCUGUCUCUUAUAC
rnacentral:rRNA from 1 species